rnacentral:rRNA from 1 species
UACGGAGGGUGCAAGCGUUGUUCGGAAUUACUGGGCGUAAAGGGCGCGUAGGCGGCCUGCUAAGUCGAACGUGAAAUCCCCGGGCUCAACCCGGGAACUGCGUCCGAUACUGGUUGGCUUGAAUCCGGGAGAGGGAUGCGGAAUUCCAGGUGUAGCGGUGAAAUGCGUAGAUAUCGGGAGGAACACCAGUGGCGAAGGCGACUUCCUGGACCAGCACUGACACUGAGGCACGAAAGCGUGGGGAGCAAACAGG